rnacentral:rRNA from 1 species
UACGGAGGUCUCAAGCGUUGUUCGGAUUCAUUGGGCGUAAAGGGUGCGUAGGCGGCGCCGUAAGUCAGGUGUGAAAUUUCGGAGCUUAACUCCGAAACUGCAUUUGAUACUGCGGUGCUUGAGGACUGGAGAGGAGACUGGAAUUUACGGUGUAGCAGUGAAAUGCGUAGAGAUCGUAAGGAAGACCAGUGGCGAAGGCGGGUCUCUGGACAGUUCCUGACGCUGAGGCACGAAGGCCAGGGGAGCAAACGGG